GAUGAACGCUGACAGAAUGCUUAACACAUGUAAGUCCACUUGAACUUCGGUUUGGGUGGUGGAAGGGUGAGUAAAGAGUAAAGAAAUUGAAUUAAAGGUAGGGAAAAAAUUUGGAAAAGGAUGCUAAUACAUGAUAUUAUGAUUAUAUGGCAUCGUAUAAUUAUGAAAGCUAUAUGCGCUGUGAGAGAGCUUUGCGUCCCAUUAGCUAGUUGGAGAGGUAACAGCUCACCAAGGCGAUGAUGGGUAGCCGGCCUGAGAGGGUGAUCGGCCACAAGGGGACUGAGACACGGCCCUUACUCCUACGGGAGGCAGCAGUGGGGAAUAUUGGACAAUGGACCGAGAGUCUGAUCCAGCAAUUCUGUGUGCACGAUGAAGUUUUUCUGAAUGUAAAGUGCUUUCAGUUGGGAAGAAAAAAAUGACGGUACCAACAGAAGAAGUGCCGGCUCCAUACGUG
rnacentral:rRNA from 1 species